rnacentral:rRNA from 1 species
AGAGUUUGAUCCUGGCUCAGGAUGAACGCUGGCGGCGUGCCUAACACAUGCAAGUCGAGCGGAGUUAUUUUCAGGAAGCUUUCGGGUGGAAUGAACUUAACUUAGCGGCGGACGGGUGAGUAACGCGUGGACAACCUACCCUGUACAGGGGGAUAACAAUGGGAAACCAUUGCUAAUACCCCAUAACACCUUUUAGGGGCAUCCCUUUAAGGUCAAAGAAUUUCGGUACAGGAUGGGUCCGCGUCUGAUUAGCUAGUUGGUGAGGUAAUGGCUCACCAAGGCGACGAUCAGUAGCCGGCCUGAGAGGGUGAACGGCCACACUGGAACUGAGACACGGUCCAGACUCCUACGGGAGGCAGCAGUGGGGAAUAUUGCACAAUGGGCGAAAGCCUGAUGCAGCAACGCCGCGUGAGCGAUGAAGGCUUUCGGGUCGUAAAGCUCUGUCCUAAGGGAAGAUAAUGACGGUACCUUAGGAGGAAGCCCCGGCUAANUACGUGCCAGCAGCCGCGGUAAUAC